AGGGCAUGUCCGCCGAUCCCAAGGAGGCAAUCUGUCAGGCGCCGCCCGGGCGGCAGUAUGCCUGAGGGGGUCCUCCGUGUUCGCGCCUCCCGCCGCCUGCACUGAAAGAAUAUCCUAGCUCUGAGACAAAAAUUGGGAACCUCAGCAUGAGUUUGUCACCUGAAUGAAAUAAAAAAAAUCACGUUGAAGGCUGGUGCAGUAACAUGUGCCUGUAGUCCCAGCUACUCUGGAGGCUGAGUCAGGAGGAUCACUUGAGACCAGAAGUUCAGGAAUUCAAGACUGGCUUGAGCAACAUAGCAAGACUUCAUUUCAAAACAAACAGAAAAAAGCCACCACCUUCAGUAUUUCUUGCCAAAGCAAAGGAGCCAUUUGUUCUUUACGAUGGUCAGGAAAGGAAGCAUCAAGGUCAUCAAAUGAAAAAUUUUCAGCAUUUCAGCCUCUCUGCUCAGGGAAAUAUCUGAAUCUAGAAUAUCACAACAUGAGCCAAAACCGCCCCAUUUCUCAUGCCACAUGUCACUCUUAACACAAGGUUACUCAACCUCGAGCAUGGUUGGCAUUUGGGGCUGAAUAAUUCUUUUUUGUAGGGGGCUGUCCUGGGCAUUGUAGGAUGCUCAUGAGCUACCUCAGUCUCUACCACCCACUAGAUGCCAGUAGCAUUGACCCCUGAUCUCUCUACCCAAGUUGUGACAACUAAAACCAUCUCUGGAUAAUGGAGGAACCUUAAAUGCAUAUUGCUAAGGAAAAGCCAAUCUGAAAGGAUUACAUAUUGUAUGAGUCCAACUAUAUGGUAAUCUGGAAAAGGCAAAACCAUGGAGACAGUGAAAAGGUAGUGGUUACCAGUGGUCCAUGGGAAGGGUUGGAUGAAUAGGUGGAGCACAGAGGAUUUUUAAGGCAGUGAAACUAUUCUGAAUGAUACUGUAAUGGUGGAUACAUGUCAUACCUUUGUCAAAACCAAUAAAAUAUAACAACCAAUAAAACUGCACAAAGAGUGAACCCUAAUGUAAACUAUGGACUUAAUAAUGUAUCAAUAUUGGCUCACCAAUUUUAACAAAUGUACCACACUAAUGCAAGAUGUUACUAAUAGUGGAAACUGGAGGGAAGAGGGCUUGAGGGGACAUACGGGAACUCUCUGUAAUUCCUGUUCAGUUUUUCUGUAACUGUUAAACUGUCCAAAAAAAGUCUGUUUUUAUAAAUGGAGGCAUGGUUUUAUAUGGACUAAAAUACUAUGAUUGCCUUUUUAUUUUACACAUGGUGAAAUUAGAGCAGGACAUAUUUUAAACUCAAAAUUCACAAAAUUAAUUUAUGAAAAUGUUUACCCAGAUCAAGAAUAUUAAAGAAACUUAGAUUAAUAUUGUUACCUUGAAUUUAUUUUACUGAGUAAUCCUCUAAGACUCCUCUACACAUUAUUAAUCUAGAAGGAUUUUUAAAGUCUUUAUGACAAUUAAUUAUUGGUCUACAGUCAAAUUGCGUAUCCCCAUUAACUAGAGUUAUAUUUUUCCAUUUUCUGAUCCAAAAACUUUAGGAACAGGAAAUGUUUAUUUUAGAAAACAAGAACACUUCUUAAGCAUUUGCUGUUAACAGUUAUUUUCACAUGUGCUUGUACUUAUUUUACACUUGUCAGAACAUAGUAUUUACCUUUGAACCAAGGUUUUAUAAUAAGCAAGCACUUUUUUUAUUUAGAAGUCACAUUUUCCAAGUAGAAAAAUCAUUAAAAAUUCAGUCCUCUGAAGGCUAAUUUCUUUAAAUCAUUUAACCUAAUUGUUUAAGGUAUAGAUUGGAAUUUUUCUCAGCACUCUCUUGAAAACAGGUGACAGUGGAACCCUGUUAGGUUCACAAAUCCUAGACUUUGAUUAUAUAGCCCAGGCUCAAAUUUUUCUCGAAUGUUACGAACAUUCAAAGCAUUAGGAGUCUUGGUUUCAUUUCUUAAUUUUUUUUCUUCUGGGUAUAUUUGAGACUCAUCUUGGAUUCAAAUAAAUUAAUAAUAGUCUCAUGAAACCGAUAAAAAUGGGAGCUCCAUUGAACAUGAGAGACAUUGAUUCGUAGUUUCUAACAUCCUCCAAAUGAGGAGCCCAUCCCUAAUUUAGAUGCUUCUUUCAAAGGAGGCUCCUUUCCUUCGUUAUCCAUAAUAUAGUCACACCAGUCCUGAAAAAACAUGGAACAGACUCCAGAUCUUUAUAUUUCAUACUCUAAAGUCGUACAAGCCAAUCUGCAUUUCCUCUAGUGGAAACUGUAUAGCUGGUCAUCUUUCCAGGACCCUUUUAUCAAGAAACAAUGCAGCUUCUACAUUUGUGCUGCUUCUACACCAAAACAGCUGGAAUGUAUAUAGUAUGGUUCUGGAUGCUCUUGUAUACCUCACUCUUCAUUUCUCACCUAACCCAUGUGCUAUGAUUUGAAUGUUUCUCCCCUGCAAAACUCAUGUUGAAAUGUAAUUGCCAUGAUAACAGUAUUAAUAGGUGGAAUAUUUAAGAGGUGAUUAGGGUGGGAUUGGUGAUGUUAUAAAAGGGUAAGUUCAGCCCCUUCUUGCUCUCUCUGUCACCCUUCCACCUUCCUCUGUGUGAUGAUGCAACAAAAAAGCCCUUCCCAGAUGCCAGCAUCUUGAUUUUGGACUUCUCAGCCUACAGAACUAUAAGCCAAUAAAUUUCUGUUAUUUGUUAUUAGUCUGUGAUAUUCUGUUACAGUAGCACAAAAUGGACUAUGACACCAUGUGUUUACACAGAAAGAAAAAAAUAUCAUACGGUAAUUGCUCCUAAAUAUGCAGAGAAUAUGUUCUGAUAUCCUUAGUGGAUGCCUGAAACUGCAGAUAGUACCAAACCUUAUAUAUACUAUGUUUUUUUUCCCAUACAUAUGCAUGUUAAAGUUUAUAAGUUAGGCAGAGUAAGAUAUGAACAAUAACUAAUAAUGAAAUAGAAACGUAACGAUGUGCUGUAAUAAAAGUUAUGUGACUGACGCCUCUUUUUCUUCCUCUUUCUUUCAAAAUAUCUUAAUAUUUUCAAGCCAUGGAUAACUGAAACUGCAGAAAGUGAAACUGUAGAUAAACUAUUAACUCUAUUUAAACAAUAAAAGAAUUAUAAUUAUAUUCUUGGGAAAAUUAACAAUUAUCCAAAGUCCCUUUGCAAAGGGAAAAAAAAUGCAUGUAUUGGAAAAAAUCUCAACCACAGGGUUCCCUAAGCUUUGCAAACAACAAAUAGCAUCCACCUAUCCAUCCUCAGAGAGCAACAGUUUUACUGUUAUUUAGAAAAAGCAACUAUUUCAGGCUGCAGGUUGUGCACAUCAGCACUUCCCAGCUCUCUACUAAUAUGGGAAAACUGACUAUCCCUGACUUCAGUUUUUGUGAAGCUAAAUGCCUGACUAGAGUUUAAACUGAGGCUAAUUGGAGAUCAUAAAAUUUUACAGCUUGCUAGAGGUGGACCACAAUUUUGAUUGGAAACUUUCCACCAACCAAUUCUAAAAGGUGUUAAUGGUGACUAUUUUCUAAAACAAAUCUGAAGAGUAACUAAUAUGAUAAGACCAGAAAUAUAUUUCUCUGGCAAGUCCCUAUAAAAAGAAAGCUAGGUAAUUAAAUAAUCUCUCAACAAUAUUGUUUUAGGAAACCCAAUAGAGAGUUUCACAGGCCUGUUUCUUAUGGGAUUGCUCAAUGUAGGUAAAUAUUAUCAAACCAAAAAGUAAUUUUGUAACAGAAAUUCUACAGAGCCCCAAUACCUUACAGAAUGAUGAGUACAACAGUAGAAACAAAUAGAAGAUAACCUAGAAAAAUAAAGCGAAUAACUUAAUGGCGUGAGUUAGGUUAAGAAAAGCUUCCUGGAAAAAGACAUCUGAAUAGAAUUUUAGUAGAUAUAGCUAGGAAUUCCCAAGCAGGUAGAAGAAGGGGGACAUUCCAGGCAAAGGAAUCAUGUGAAUGCAAAGGUAGGGAGUCAUGAAUCAAUAUGUUCGGUUUUUUUGUUGUUUUUGUUUUAUAAAGAGCUAUAAUAGGCUGGGCACAGUGGCUGUAAUCCCAGCACUUUGGGAGGCUGAAGCAGGUGGAUCACUUGAGCCCAGGAGUUCGAGACCAGCCUGGGCAACAUGGCAAAACACUGUCUCUACAAAAACAAAAAAAAUUAUCCCUGUUCAGUGGUGUGCGCCUGUGGUCCCGGCUACCUGGGAGGCUGAGGCGAGAGGAGUGCUCAAGGUGGGAGGUGGAGAUUACAGUGAGCAGAGAUCACACCACUGCACUCCAGCCUGAGCGACAGAGAGACUCUGUCUAAAAAAAAAAAAAAAAAGCUAUAAUAAGAUCAGCUUACUAGACAAUACAGUGAAAUGGGGGAAGCUAGAGAAGAGAGGUGGGCAGUGGCCUCUUAUGCUACGUAAGAGAUUUGACAUCAUAAAGUAAGUUGCCAGAGUUCUGAAUGAGGGCAUUAGAAAUAGUAAUGAACAGGAAAGCAUACACUUAAGAGCUGUCUGCUGUCUGGGAGGUGGAAUUUACACUGAGUACUGAGUAAUAGAAUGAAGGGGUUGAGGGAAAGGUAAGAAUCUAGGGUGAGUGUAAAUCUUCUGGUUCAGGGGAUAAACAACAGGAAGUCAUUGAAAUCUAUUGGCCUAUCCGCAUUUUGAAAUUAUUUUUACUCAUGUAAGAUUCUGUAACAUUAUAUGGUCAUUAGGAAAUAUCUGUUUACUGAAUUAUGGAGGUAUUCGAAAUGUUCAAACAUUUCAUGCAAUAUCAAAAACUCAAACUGGCUGCAGUGGCUUAUGCCUGUAAUCCCAGCACAUUGGGAGACCAAGGCAGGAGUACUGUCUGAGCCCAGGAGUUCAAGACCAGCCUGGGCAACAUGGCAAGACCCCAUCUCUACAAAAUUUUUUUAAAUUUGCCAAGAGUGGAGUGCACAUCUGUGGUCUCAGCUACUUGGAAAGCUGAGGCAGGAGGAUCACUUGAGCCCAUAAGGUUGAGAGCUGCAUUCAGUGAGCCCUGUUCAUGCCACUGCAAUCCAGCCUUAACAACAGAGCAAGACCCUGUCUCAAAAAAAUAUUAUAUUCAUUAAUGUUGCUGCUGAUAUCAGAAAAAAUUCUAAGUAUCCCACAGUAGCAGAUACAAGCUUUUCAAAAUUCCAACUUCUACUUUUAAAAGCUUAAAUUUUAGCACUGGCAACAAAUACAACUAGUUGUUUUCCCUAAAGUGAUAGUAUCACUGUUUAUUUUCAAGAAAAUGUCUGCCAAAUUCCCAAGUCUGAAUAAUCAAUUUUCUGUCACUUUUUUUUUCCAAGUGAAAAGAUGGUGUUUCCAUGAAAGAAAAGAAAAAGUGGCUAAUUCAGCUUGCAACUCAAACAAGUGUUUUUCCAAAAGACAACUAUAUUUCAGCAUGCAGUAGAAGUGUUUUAUGGGUACAUCACAUUGUGUCACAAAGAAUUUUUUUAAAUGUGCUUAAGGGUUGAGAUUUAGUAGAAAAUAAUUUUUACAACUUCAUCAAGGACAUUAUUUUAGUAAAACUGUUUUUUUUUUACUACGAAUGUGUGGUGGUGAAGAAUACAAUGACUACUAAUAAAAUUUGGUGCCAUUGCCUUAAUUCGUGCUAAGACACCAGUCAUUUUACCCACCAUUGGAUAAAAUCCACCAUUUUUGCACCAUCAGUGCAAAUGUUAACACAGUUAACACAGUUGUUGAGGAUAAACCACCAGAUUCAAAAAAGUCAUAUAACACUUUUAAUGUUUCAGAACCCCUGUUGCCCAGAAUUCACAUAAAAGAAGAUCAUCAAUGGUCAAUUGAUGCUGAUACCUGAUGAAUGAAAGCAAAACAGGAUGUAUAGCCAUCUGUAGAUCAGUCCCUUUGUAAGGCUAAGGUACAAUUCUUUAGAUGAUAUAUUAACUCAGUCUUUAUGUUUGCAGUUAAAUCUUUAAUUUGACAAGUUAUUGCAUCAUUGGAAAAUGCCAGCACUAUGCAUUCUUGUGGUGAUUUUUCAUCCAGCAGGUAUUCAGCAAUGUCAACUGUUCAAGCCUUUAUUAGUCUCUCUGUGAUUGUGUGUGCUCCUCUAGCCAAUACAAUAUGAUGGCUUAUCCUGUAAGAAGCUUUUAAAGAGUGUAUUACAUCUACAUUUCGGUUAUUUAAUUCCUUUUUUUAAUAAAUUCUGAAUGAUUGGUCCCAAAAUGAUACUGCAACUUUGUUGGAACCAUAUAAGUGUUUGAAAAUGUUUUACUGCACAAGACACAAUAUGAUAAAUUAUUAACAUCUAUAAAGCUGAACAAAAGAUCACUUUCAACAUAUUUUUGUUGUGUAUAGUUGUGCUCAGUUUCUUUGGAAUAGAUUUCUCCUUUUUAUGAGGAAUCAGAUAACUUGCUGAUAUGUCAAUGUCAUCCUUUUCAGCAUCUCUAGACAUAGGCAAUCUAGACACCAGAAAAUGUGUUUUCUCUUCUCCCUUUUUAAAGCCAACCAUCCACCCUAUUCAGAUAAAAUUUUUUAAUUAAAAACAUUUUUGAAAAAUAUAUUAUUGCAAAACAACAAAGUAAACAUAAUUUUUGUUAUGUUUCUGUGUAAAAGGAAAAACUUUAGGAUUUAAAAAUGAUUUCUUGGAAGAUAAUGAGAUUACAGAGAUUAUAACAGGUAUAACUGAAGAUAGCUGGUAAGAGCAUGGUAGAAAAGAAAUAAUUUCUGAAAACUACAUACUUAUACCGUAAACUCACUACCUUUGAAAACUCUAGAAAAUACAAUACACAGGCACACAAUCUGUUAGGUAUCAGAGAAAUAGUCAUCACUAUUCAUCACAUGCCAUUGUUGUCUUUGGCGAACCCUUCUGUACACUUAUGAGAGUGAGAGUAAAAAAAAGGCAAAUAACAUCUUAAUUUUAUGAAUAUUUUUGACCUUGUUGACCCUCUAAAAGGAUCCAAGGGAUCUCUCCCUCCCAACAUCCCCAGGAAUCCUCUGAUCACAUUUUGAGAACUGUUGGAUAAGUCAGUUAAUAUUGCAGGAACAUAGGCUAUCACCAUGGGGAAUAAAUGAAACCAGAUCUCUACCUCACACCAUUACAAAAAUAAAUUUUAAAUGAAAUAAAAGGCUAAAUGUGAAAAGGUAAAGGUUUAAAGCUUUGGGGGGGAAAUGUAGAAUAACUUUAUUAUCUCAAGGUAGAUAGCCUAACAAUACCACGUGCUGAAGCAGAAAUGUGAAGAAAUGGGAAUUUGCAUAGAAUCUUGGUGGAAGGGUUAGUUUUCCCACUUAUUUCAACUACUUAUUUCACAUAUGCAGUGUUGUACAAAUUUAAAGAGACAAGAAUCCUACAGACAAGCAAUUCUAUGUUUAUAUGCCCUAGAGACCUGAAGACAUUCUCAAAUACAAAAACAAAGAAGUAUGCAUAAGGAUGUUCAUUGCAGGUUUGCUUAUAAUUGGUGGAAAGUCAGGGGAUGCCCAUCAGUGCAUAAAAAAGUAAAUAAAAUUGUGUUGCCUUUCUACAAUAAAUUGUGCAACCAUUAAAAUAAACUAAAUGUCCAUAUUUCACAAGGACAAUUCUCACAACAUAAUAACAAAUGAUAUGCACUAACUUUAAACUAGUAAUUGCAUCUGGUGAGGGAAAAGAAAGGUGGACCUGAAGUCAGGUGCAAACAGCACAACUGUAUUUGAGUAGUGGUUGCAUGACUGUUGUUCCAUGUAUUUUCUGUAUGUUACAAAUAUUUACUAUUAAUUAUAACAACAUAAGAUGUACUCUAACUCCUUCAUGCUGCUAAUUAUAGAAUAUCUACUUUGUUGACUAAACCCUUUAGCAUAUAUAUAUAUAUAUAUAUAUAUAUAGCCUAUUUCUGUUAAUGGUUCUUUGGAUAAAUAACAGUUGACUUUGUUCCUCUGCUUGGUAUUUUAAAAAACCUAUUAGUUUACAAAUCUCUUACUAAUUUUAGUUUUAAUAUUUGUAUUGUUAAGUAUUUUAAACACACAGAAAGGCAAAUAAACCCCCAUUACCCAAACACCCAGCUUUAUUAAAUCUUAGUAUUUUGUCCUAUUUGUUUCAAUGGUUUUUUUAAUAAAUCAGUGACUACAAUAAAAUUGAUACCUCUGAAUCCUUCCAUUUUCUUUUCACUGCCCCCAGAUAUAACCACCAAUGUGAAGUCAGUUUUAUCAUUGCUAUGCAUGUUUUUAAUAUUUUUACUAAAUGUUUAUGAAUUCUUAAACAUUAUGAAGCAUUAUGUUAUAGAGUUUUUAAGUUUUAUAAAAUAUUAUCUAAUACUGUUACUUUAAGAAAACCUGCAGUAACCCCUUCUGAAAAAGAUUAAUCACACGUAAUUUGUUACAUAUUAAAAUAACUGCUCCUAAAUAGUGAUGUGGCCUUGGGCAAGCUCUUUCAAGUUUCUGUGAGCUCCAGCUUUUCCUUAUCUGUGUGGUAAAAGAAUAUGAGACUAUGUCUGCGCUCUCUUUCAGAUUAUAAGUCUCUAUAAAUUAUUCAACUCAAAUGUCCCCAUGGGUUUACUUAAAGGAUAGUUUUGUCCACUUAUGAACAACUGUGUUUCAUCAAAAUCAGAAUUUACUGAAUGUUCAUUCAUUUUAACUUUUUUAAGUGGUUUGUCACAGAAUUCCUUUCAAUGCUGAGAUUUUCAAAUAUAUUGCAACCAUCGAGAGGACAUUCUUGAAUAUUCACUAUAAGCCUGAUGCUAUGCGAGGUGCCAGAGAUACAAGAGGGAACUUGACAGGUACAGUCUGUCUCCCACAAAGCUUAUGGCUGAGUUUUUAAAAUGUAAUUCAAGCUUUUCAGGAAUACAGUCAAUCCAUAAAGCAAUAGGGAGAAACAUUUCCAAUAUCAAGAGGCACUGAUGAAUGAAUGUGUGAAUAACUAAAUUUUGUAACUUUUUUUGUAGACAUAAAAAUAAGCAUUCACUGUGUCAUCCUUAAAUAAAAUCAUUGGCAGAGUGUAGCCUAUAAAUGUCUGGAAAUACCUCACCAAAGGCUAGAAGACAUUUUGCCAGAAGGAAGUAAUGUUUACAUUUCUAUAUUUUGUUUCUUUUUCCUCUACAUAUGCAUUUUGUCCUAUGUCUAUGUCUCCUUCUUAAUAGGCUUUGACAUGAACCCAAAGCAAAUGUUUCCUAUUAUUUUAUCUAUUUAUUGAAUAUACAUUGUUUUCUGAAUGCUAUUCCUUUCAUUUACCAGUUCUAGUAGUCUGGGUUUGCUCUUAUUUCUCUUUACUCUAAAAUGGUUUUUUUAAUCUGUAACACAGAACUUAGUGCUUGGUUAUAUAUAGGUAGGCAUUGUUUUCUAAAAACACUGGUUUACAAAAUGGAAUGUGCACACUACAGGGAAUGUGCAAAUGAUCCUUGAGGAUACAGGAAGGAAGUGUUAAAGUUUCUAUUUAUUUUGGUAACUUAUAAACUUUCUAUUUGUUACAGUGUGAGUUCUGGUGUAUAUAGUCAAGCCAUAUGCUAGUACAUGGGAUAAUGUAUAAAUAAACAUGUAAGUGUCGAUAAGUACUCAACUCUUUUUUACUGAGAGGGCUUUAGGCUUUUUUUUUUUUUAAGUUUCAAUACCACAGUUCAAAUGUGUGUGUUGGUCUUAUCUAUGUAAUUGUUUUGUGUGCUCUUUCAGGGAGUGGUGGUGUCUUGUGUCUCUUACUCUGUCCAAAGGACCUUGUAUGUAUAAAUGCGAAUAAAUAUUUAUUGAACUCCACUAAUAAAUGAUUCCAUUCUUCAGACCAUCAAACUAAGGACUACGCUUUGAACAUGCUUUGGAAACAUUUUCAUUAAAGCCAAAAUGUCUCAGAAAUGUUUAAUUAAAAAAUAAA
rnacentral:lncRNA from 1 species